rnacentral:rRNA from 1 species
ACUCCUACGGGAGGCAGCAGUGGGGAAUAUUGCACAAUGGGCGCAAGCCUGAUGCAGCCAUGCCGCGUGUAUGAAGAAGGCCUUGGGUUGUAAAGUACUUUCAGCAGUGAGGAAGGUGGGUAGUGUUAAUAGCAUACUCAUUUGUACGUUAGCUGCAGAAGAAGCACCGGCUAACUCCGUGCCAGCAGCCGCGGUAAGUACGGAGGGUGCGAGCGUUAAUCGGAAUUACUGGGCGUAAAGCGCAUGCAGGUGGUUGUUAAGUCAGAUGUGAAAGCCCGGGGCUCAACCUCGGAAUUGCAUUUGAAACUGGACAAACUAGAGUACUGUAGAGGGGUAGAAUUUCAGGUGUAGCGGUGAAAUGCGUAGAGAUCUGAAGGAUACCGGUGGCGAAGGCGGCCCCUGGACAGAUACUGACACUCAGAUGCGAAAGCGUGGGAGCAAACAGGAUUAGAU